rnacentral:rRNA from 1 species
GACGUAGGGCGCGAGCGUUGUCCGGAUUUAUUGGGCGUAAAGAGCUCGUAGGCGGCUUGUUGCGUCGACUGUGAAAACCUGCGGCUCAACCGUGUGGUCUGCAGUCGAUACGGGCAGGCUGGAGUUCGGUAGGGGAGACUGGAAUUCCUGGUGUAGCGGUGAAAUGCGCAGAUAUCAGGAGGAACACCGGUGGCGAAGGCGGGUCUCUGGACAGUGACUGACGCUGAGACGCGAAAGCGUGGGGAGCAAACAGG